ACAAUAGUGGUGUAGUGGUAACAUUAGCCGUUGCCAUCGGCUAGCACUCGGUUCGAUUCCGGGCUAUUGUA